AACGGCCGCGGUACCCUAACCGUGCGAAGGUAGCGCAAUCACUUGUUCUUUAAAUGAGGACUAGUAUGAAUGGCAUCACGAGGGUUAUACUGUCUCCCCCUUUUAAUCAGUGAAACUGAUCUUCCCGUGAAGAAGCGGGAAUAAGCCUAUAAGACGAGAAGACCCCAUGGAGCUUAAAACUCAGUACCAACUGCCUUACCACAUACCCCUUAAACCAGGCAGAAAUGAUUACUAGUUUUCGGUUGGGGUGACCGCGGAGCAAAAUAAAACCUCCACGAUGAA
rnacentral:rRNA from 1 species